rnacentral:rRNA from 1 species
GACGUGGGGCGCGAGCGUUGUCCGGAUUUAUUGGGCGUAAAGAGCUCGUAGGUGGUUUGUCGCGUUGUCCGUGAAAACUCACAGCUCAACUGUGGGCGUGCGGGCGAUACGGGCAGACUGGAGUACUGCAGGGGAGACUGGAAUUCCUGGUGUAGCGGUGGAAUGCGCAGAUAUCAGGAGGAACACCGGUGGCGAAGGCGGGUCUCUGGGCAGUAACUGACGCUGAGGAGCGAAAGCGUGGGGAGCGAACAGG